AAGUCGUAACAAGGUUUCCGUAGGUGAACCUGCGGAAGGAUCAUUAACAAAUCUGAACUGGUCUAGUGCAAGCAGAGUUAUAUCUGCUCGUACUAGAUCACAUUGACUCAGCUCGGCUAUUUAUUAGCCGAGUGUUGAGACACAUUCACGCUUGUUGUGUUUGACUGAGUUAAUAUGUGACAAAAUAAAGACAACUUUUAACAAUGGAUCUCUUGGCUCUU
rnacentral:misc_RNA from 1 species